rnacentral:rRNA from 1 species
CAGCAGCCACGGUAAGACAGAGGAUGCAAGCGUUAUCCGGAAUGAUUGGGCGUAAAGCGUCUGUAGGUGGCUUUUCAAGUCCGCCGUCAAAUCCCAGGGCUCGACCCUGGACAGGCGGUGGAGACUACCAAGCUGGAGUACGGUAGGGGCAGAGGGAAUUUCCGGUGGAGCGGUGAAAUGCGUUGAGAUCGGAAAGAACACCAACGGUGAAAGCACUCUGCUGGGCCGACACUGACACUGAGAGACGAAAGCUAGGGGAGCAAAUGGGAUUAGAUACCCGUGUAGUCCCUGUCUCUUAUAA